ACACCUAGAUUCAAUUUCGUUUGACCUCCAAAUCACUAAGAACAAAUCGUACAGGUUCAUGGGUGCAUGGCGGCGAAUCCGCCAUUCCUGCAACGAUUUUCUUCAAUCUCCACCACUAUUACAUUCUCCUUUAACCCAGGAACAAAGCCCAAAAAACCUUGGAGGCGGUGAAGCACCAGAGUUGACGGAUCGAAGCACACCUAAUUCUAGGGUUCCGACGGAUUCUAGUGAAAUUGGGGCUUUUCCUUGCCAAAUUAGCCUUGGUCAUAGGAGCGUUGGCGGGAAGUGAUCACAUUCUCGAUAGUUCGAGAGGUUUUCGGGCAAUGGAAAACUUGUGCGUUAGCGGGAAAUGAUUACAUCCUCAAUAGUUCGAGCGGCUUCGGGCAAUGGAAAAACUAGUG